CCGGAAGCACCCUCCUUCCCUGCAUGCAAUGCUGCUGAAUAGUCUCUGCAUGACUGGGCACUUCAGCUAAGCUGUCCCAACAGGAGCAGGGACAGAGAGUGGUGGCACAAAGGGGAUGGCAGCCCACGUGUCUGCCCACCUGCACUCACUGCCAGGGAUUAUUCAUUUCAUUCACCGUUUUGGAUUUGCUGCAGUGAUUCCACUAAAGUCAAUGGUGGAGGGAGGGGGGAGAGAGAUGGGUUUGUGCAUCUUGCCUUCUAGGAAGUAACCUAUAAAGAAGAUGUGCUAUGUACGUCCUAAUGCUUUUGACAGCUAACUGAGCAGAAGAUCCUAUGAUCUAUACCUUAUGCCAUGUGUGUAUGUGUGUACGCUUACCCCUGGGGGUACACAGGGGUCUUCCAGGGGAGUACAUCAACUCAUCUAGAUAUUUACCUAGUUUUAUAACAGGCUACAUAAAACGCACUAGCGAAGUCAGCAUGAACUAAAAUUUCAUACAAUGACUUGUUUAUACUGCUCUAUGCACUAUACACUGAAAUACCAAUUCCCGUGAUUGCAUGUCUUUACAUCCUGUAAUCUCUGCUCUCCUGACAAUUUGGAAUAAAUGCAAAACAAAUAGAAGGGUGCCACCAGUUUAUCCCUGAUUUAUAUUCUAAGAGAGAACCUGUUAUUGCCAGCAGGACUUAGCACCCUAACUUUUCACACAAGGCAUGUGGACCUGCACAGAAUGUUGUAAAGACCUUUGAACACCUUUCAAAAUAAUGUCCUUCAGGAUGCUCAGAGUGUAAUAUAUCAGCAUAAAUGACAGAUAAGGAAUGUGAAUUACAAGAUGAGCUGAGGGACUUUGGUAACCUUACAAUGCCUUUAUUUGCAUGAUCAUUGGUACUUUUUUCAGUAUGUUUGUCACUAUAUGGAUUCUCCCCAGACUUAAUUUCUGUGCUUGUGCUGUGUCAAACCUUUUCCCCCUGCUGCUUUCCUCUUCCAGAGAAUUGCCUUCCCCCAACCUCUACGGCUCUGCUCAGCAGCUCUGGAUUAUUUACCCUACUACUCUGCAUGGUGCUGCCAGAUCAUCUAUCUCACUGCUCCACACAGGUUGCUGGGUUCAUUUAUCUUUCAGCUGUCUCUCCUACUUUUCUUGAACCCUGACCUCCCGAAAUGGUAGGGAGAUCUUUGUAGUUGUCACUAGUGCAUGUAACGAUACACUUAGGUAAUACAUUUAGUCAUGAUUUAAAAUAUGUAUAACAUUGACCAGGCUAGCAUUUUCUCCUGCUUAAAAAAAAAAAAAAAAAAUUGCCUGUUAUAAAAUUCUAGGCGGAGUGUGUGAAUGAUCUCAGAUUCAGUGCUACCACUGGCAAGAUUAAUGGAAACACCAAUCAAUGUAUGAUUUGAGAUAGCUAGAGCUAAUUGCAUUCUCCUUCUUGACAUGUUUAAUGUCAUCAUGGCUGUACAUAGCAUAUCAUAAUGUGGACUGUACGAAGCACUUGAAGCGGUCUGCUGAAUUCACAAAAUUCUUCUCUGGGCCAUCUGGAAAUGCCUGAAGGGAAUGGAACUUAUAGAAAAUGUGUUUGACCUAAAAUGGGCAUAUGUGGCUUAACUGAAGCCUUGUGUAUUCUGCUAGUCCAUGGAAUCUGCCUCUUGCUGCAGAGGUUUGAUCAGAACAUAAGUUUUCAUUAAGUAAAAAAUUAUGCUCCUAGACUUUAUGGUUGUAAAGGAAACCAUGACCAGAGUGUAACCCAAUGCAGUGUUAUCUUCCUGAGUCUGCAGAUAUCCUGAAAAGCUCCCUUUAUCGCAAUGAGUUAAAUUCUGAAAGCCAAAGAUAAUUUAAAUGUCAGCAUUUAACUGUGUCACUGCUGAUCUUUUAGCAGAAACACCAGCUAAUGUGCUUACUGCACAAAGCCAAAAUGCCUUCCAUGCCACUUCAGGGCAUGAACGCUUCAAAUGUCCCUAAUAACCAGCCAUCAGAUGCAGUUAUACAUGGUUAUAUAAAUCUUUGGUAUGUCAAAAAUGGAAAAUAUGGAGAUCAACAUAACACAGGGUCUACUGUACCAAUUGUAUUAUUAAUUUUUAAUUCAGUAACAGUUUCCUUUUAAAAUUUUAAAUGAAGGUGGUGCCACAGACAUUCCUGCUGCAGAUUCCAGGGACCCUGGUACAAAAUGUAGGCCCAAAUUGCUGCAGAGUACACAGUUCUUCAGCUUCACCACCACCUACAAGAUUGAUGGAAUGAGAACCUGUUGCACUGUGUAUAUUCCUAGUGGUUUACCUAGCAAUUUGUACACACACUACCCGACCUAUUGCCCCCUUUCUCAAUAUUUCCUAAUCUCCUGUGACAUUCACUUAAAAUUGUUCUUGCAUUUUAUAUUAGUAUUAGACUGGGAUCUCAGGAAGCAGUACCUUGAGGAGAUGGUGGCCAUUGGAGUGAAUAAGCUUUAAUAGGUCUUACUGUUCAGAGAAAUUCAAAAACACAAGAAGAAAUGAAAUACAUUCGUAUGACUACAUCUACUUGUCUCCAAAGUGUAUCCUAAACUGGACUCUAAGAGCUAUAUAUUGUGUAGUAUGCAAUGCACACUUUGGGUGCCUUAUACAUAAUAAAAACAUCACUAGUGAC